UACAGGUUUGGUCCUAGCCUUAGUAUUAAUUUUGAUUAUAAUUAUACAUGCAAGUCUCAGCGCCCCAGUGAAAAUGCCCCUUACUCCUGUUUCGGAGACAAGGGAGCAGGUAUCAGGCACUAAAAAGCCCAUGACAUCUUGUUAAGCCACACCUCCACGGGAACUCAGCAGUAAUAGACAUUAAACAAUAAGCGAUAAGCUUGAUUUAGUAAUAUGUAUUAGAGUUGGUAANUCUCGUGCCAGCCGCCGCGGUUAUACGGAAAACUCAAAUUAAUUAACACGGCAUAAAGGGUAGUUAAAAAUAUCUUAAAUAAGAUUUAAAACUUGCUAAGUGGUUNUAUAUUAUGCAAAUCUUAUACUCAAAAACGAAAGUCAUCUUAUAUUACUUGAAGCUACUACAGCCGAGGGACAAACUGGGAUUAGAUACCCCACUAUGCUCGACUUUAAACUUUGAUUCGCCAGAGUACUACGAGCCACAGCUUAAAACUCAAAGGACUUGGCGGCGCCCUAUACCCCCCUAGAGGAGCCUGUUCUGUAAUCGAUACUCCCCGAUAAACCUCACCACCUCUCGUUAAUACAGCCUAUAUACCACCGUCCUCAGCUUACCCCUCAAAGGGAGAAUAGUAAGCAAAAUCAUUUUAAAUAAAAAAGUCAGGUCAAGGUGUAGCAAAUGAGGCGGAAAGAAAUGGGCUACAUUUUCUAUUAUAGAAUAUACAGAAUGUUUUAUGAAACAUGACAUGAAGGAGGAUUUAGAAGUAAAAGGAAAAAAGAGUGUUCUUUUUAAACCGGCAAUAGAGCGCGCACACACCGCCCGUCACCCUCCUUACAUACAGGAAAAAUUAAAUAAAUAUUAAUAUAACAAAAGGAGAUAAGUCGUAACAUGGUAAGCCUACCGGAAGGUGGGCUUGGAUAU
rnacentral:ncRNA from 1 species